AGUGGCGGACGGGUGAGUAACGCGUGGGUAACCUGCCUCAGUACAGGGGAUACAGUUAGAAAUGACUGCUAAGACCGCAUAAUAUAGCGAAACCGCAUGAUUUUGCUAUCAAAUAUUUAUAGGUAUGAGAUGGGCCCGCGUCUGAUUAGCUAGGUUGGUGGGGUAAAAGCCUACCAAGGCGACGAUCAGUAGCCGGCUUGAGAGAGUGACCGGCCACAUUGGGACUGAGACACGGCCCAAACUCCUACGGGAGGCAGCAGUGGGGAAUAUUGGACAAUGGGGGAAACCCUGAUCCAGCGACGCCCGCGUGAGUGAAGAAGUAUUUCGGUAUGUAAAGCUCUAUCAAGCAGGGAAGAUAAUGACAGUACCUGACUAAGAAGCCCCGGCUAACUACGUGCCAGCAGCAGC
rnacentral:rRNA from 1 species